GAUGAACGCUGGCGGCAUGUCUAAGGCAUGCAAGUCGAACGAUCUCUUCGGAGAGAGUGGCAAACGGGAGAGGAACACAUUGGUAACCUACCUCUGUCACAGGGAAAACCUCGGGAAACCGGAGCUAAUCCCUGAUGGUCUCCGUGUACAUAAGUGCACGGCGUAAAGGUCCGCCGGACAGAGAGGGGCCUAUGGCGUAUCAGCUUGUUGGUGGGGUAAAAGCUCACCAAGGCUUUGACGCGUACCGGGUGUGAGAGCAUGGCCCGGCUCACGGGAACUGAGACACUGUCCUG
rnacentral:rRNA from 1 species